AUGUAUGCAUGUAUGCAUGUAUGCAUGUAUGCAUGUAUGCAUGUACGCAGCUUGUGUG
ensembl:miRNA Gm22151 predicted gene, 22151